rnacentral:tRNA from 1 species
CCGGCUUCGGGGUGCUGGGCCGGGUCGGCGGCGUCCAGCGCCGCGGCCAGGCCGGCGAUGGCCGGCAGCGGCUCGGUCCCACCGCGCCGGCC